UCAAACUUGGUCAUUUAGAGGAAGUAAAAGUCGUAACAAGGUUUCCGUAGGUGAACCUGCGGAAGGAUCAUUAUCGAGUUAGGGUCCCUCACACGGGCUCGACCUCCCAACCCUGUGUCUACCACACUUAUGUCGUUGCUUCGGCGGACCGGUCGACCCAAACUCCGGUCGUGACCGCCGGGGGAGUUCGCCCCUCUGGACAGCGUCCGCCGAUGGCCCAACCACAAAAACUCUUGUUUCCAACCGUGGCGUCUGAAAAUUUUGAAUCAAAUCGAAACGAAAAAACUUUCAACAACGGAUCUCUUGGUUCUGGCAUCGAUGAAGAACGCAGC
rnacentral:misc_RNA from 1 species